rnacentral:rRNA from 1 species
UACGGAGGAUGGCGAGCGUUAUCCGGAUUUAUUGGGUUUAAAGGGUAGCGUAGGCGGUCUGUUAAGUCAGCGGUAAAAUUGCGGGGCUCAACCCCGUCGAGCCGUUGAAACUGGCAGACUUGAGUUGGCGAGAAGUACGGCGGAAUGCGCGGUGUAGCGGUGAAAUGCAUAGAUAUCGCGCAGAACUCCGAUGCGAAGGCAGCAUACCGGCGCCCGACUGACGCUGAGGCA